rnacentral:rRNA from 1 species
AGACCCGAAACCCGGUGAUCUAGCCAUGGGCAGGUUGAAGGUUGGGUAACACUAACUGGAGGACCGAACCGACUAAUGUUGAAAAAUUAGCGGAUGACCUGUGGCUGGGGGUGAAAGGCCAAUCAAACCGGGAGAUAGCUGGUUCUCCCCGAAAGCUAUUUAGGUAGCGCCUCGUGAAUUCAUCUCCGGGGGUAGAGCACUGUUUCGGCUAGGGGGCCAUCCCGGCUUACCAACCCGAUGCAAACUGCGAAUACCGGAGAAUGUUAUCACGGGAGACACACGGCGGGUGCUAACGUCCGUCGUGAAGAGGGAAACAACCCAGACCGCCAGCUAAGGUCCCAAAGUCAUGGUUAAGUGGGAAACGAUGUGGGAAGGCCCAGACAGCCAGGAUGUUGGCUUAGAAGCAGCCAUCAUUUAAAGAAAGCGUAAUAGCUCACUGGUCGAGUCGGCCUGCGCGGAAGAUGUAACGGGGCUAAACCAUGCACCGAAGCUGCGGCAGCGACACUCAGGUGUUGUUGGGUAGGGGAGCGUUCUGUAAGCCUGUGAAGGUGUGUCGUGAGGCAUGCUGGAGGUAUCAGAAGUGCGAAUGCUGACAUAAGUAACGAUAAAGCGGGUGAAAAGCCCGCUCGCCGGAAGACCAAGGGUUCCUGUCCAA